rfam:Camelus ferus unplaced genomic scaffold scaffold1265, whole genome shotgun sequence.
GAGGGUAUAGCUCAGUGGUAGAGUGUGUGCCUAGCAUGCACGAUGUCCAGGGUUCAGUCACCAGUACCGCCA